GGCUGGUCUGAGGGCAGUGGUGUUUACAACUGUUGAUCAUACUCAGUUACAGAUUUCUUUGUUCCUGCUCCACACCUACUGCUUCAUUUGAUUAGUCUUUU
ensembl:misc_RNA Y_RNA Y RNA